rnacentral:rRNA from 1 species
AUUGAACGCUGGCGGCAGGCUUAACACAUGCAAGUCGAACGAGUGGCGGACGGGUGAGUAAUGCUUGGGAAUCUAGCUUAUUGAGGGGGAAAAUUACGGGAAACCGUACCUAAUACCCCGUUCCACAGGUAGAGCCCAAGUGGGAUUAGGUAGUUGGUGAGGUAAAGGCUCACCAAGCCGACGACUCCUAGCUGGUCUGAGAGGAUGACCAGCCACACUGGGACUGAGACACGGCCCAGACUCCUACGGGAGGCAGCAGUGGGGAAUAUUGCGCAAUGGGGGCAACCUGACGCAGCCAUGCCGCGUGAAUGAAGAAGACCUUCGGGUUGUAAAGUUCUUUCGGUAGCGAGGCGUUAACUACAGAAGAAGCACCGGCUAACUCCGUGCCAGCAGCCGCGGUAAUAC